CGACGACAACUACGCUCUGGCCGCUUAAGGCCUAGCCCCGAACCCACUUGUGCUCAUGCUCGUCGGUGUAGGGUCAUUAUCAUGAGAUCGCCGAACGCUGCCGCCUGGCGGUUCUAGGCUAAAUCAAUCAGGCUGGUUCCGCGGUGCGCCUUGCCCAUCGUGCUUGUCGCGGAACGAGAUCGAACGGUGGGCUACGCAUGUAGAUCCGGGCAUUUAACGCCUUCGGACGGGGGUUCGACUCCCCCCACCUCCACCA
rnacentral:tmRNA from 1 species